rnacentral:lncRNA from 1 species
CUUUACUUGAAUACCAGAGACCUGAUCUGAGACCCGAGCGGGUCCGGAUCUAGAAUUCUAAAUGUCACCGUCUGGGUUGGAUCCGACAUGAUUGUCACAGGUCUCGGGUAUGUGUAAUUUUAACUGACUUGUCCGGAAGGGUCCCGUACAGAUCCGAACACGACUGCUGCAGUAGAGAGAACUUGUAUAAUUUAUAUUGCUGCUCUUGCUUUUCACAAGUGUAGUGUAGCAGUGGCGGUUGGUGAUGUUUAAGAUGGAGGACGACACAUUAAAUACAGCCUUGCACACUCUUGCCUGCAUCUAGCUGAUAUAGGGUGUUAUUAGUCCAACUGUUGAAAAACACGUUUAUAUUGGCAAAAUUCAGGUAUGUUUAUCCCUGUUUCAUUCCAUUUGCUUCCGUUUUUAAAUGUUUUUCAACAGAAUCAGCGUCAUGAAUACACCCCUGAUCACACAAACAGCUUACUUUCAUAGCAGCCACACUAUUCAUUCUUGCGUCUAUGGGCUCCUCCUUUUCCCUUCGCUUGUGGACUUCAAUGAACAACACAGCAGCUGUAUGUGACCAGGUGGACUUCUCCUGUGGGAACAGCACAAAGCCCAGAGCGGACAUGGCCUUCCACUUCAACCCGCGCUUUAACUGAUCUCCCUGCAUCGUGUGUAAGAUGAUGCAGAGAGCGGGAGCAAGGAAGAUAUCCAGCAUUAGCACGCCUUCACACUGGGGUCAACCUUUGAGAUGAUCGUCCUGGUGCAGAAAGAUGAGUUUAAGGCACUGGUUUCAACAUGAGGUGACCCAUUAUAUAUAUUCUAUGAUUCUGACGUGAAGCACCUGUGCUGCCGACGUAAUACAUCACACAUUUGAUUAGAACGAAAUAGGCAAAAUCAGAUUCAGCCCACUGGUACCAGAACAGCUGGGUCUGGCCUUUGGAAAUGCUCUUACCUGUAUCUUAUCACAUGUUCUAGACAUGGAAGAAUGUCAUAAUAGCAUUACAGCAAGCUUUGAAGGUCUGUGAUGUACUUUUCCACAACUUAAAGGUUCACACUACACAGAGAAACAUGAGUGCCAGAGGUUGAUCAUAUACAGUGACCUUUGGAAAGUUUUCAGACACCUUGGCUUUUUCCAUAUUUUGUUACGUUACAGCCUUAUUCUAAAAUGUAUUAAAUUGUAUUUCUUUCCCUCAUCAAUCUACAGUCGUGGCCAAAAGUUUUGAGAAUGACACAAAUAUUAUUUUUCACGAAGUUUGCU